UCUACCAACACACGUACAGAGAGCCAAGCUGGGCUGCAAAGGGGAGAAGCACCAGAAUCUAGCAGGCUGAGUGCCUGAUUAUUAAUUUAAUGAUUUUUUAGCCCAGAUUGAAGAUGCAAAUUCUGGCAAUAAGAAAAAACUUGACAUGGAUAUUAUGAGAUUACCAAAACCUCACAGUAGUAGUAAUAACAAUAAUCAUCUGUUAUUUGAAAAGAUGCUGAAAUCCAUGGAAAUUUUAAAAUAUUAUUCUUAGAAAUCUUUCCCCUAAAUGCUUUGUCUUUCCUGAAAGUGAUGGAAAAGGAGAUAGAAAACUUAAAGAGCUCCACGUAUCCACACUUGUACCUCUACGGUUUUACAUGCGCUCUUGGCCGUCGCCCGGUGUUGGAUGCAACUGGAUACUUCACGUCUAAGGAGAUGGAGAAAUAAAUUGCAUUGCUCUCCCUGCAAGUCUGAUCAAGCUCCGAAAGUUCCUUUUCAGAUUCCCACUUUCUAAUAACAGUAGAAAUGUUGCAGUGGACGUGCUCCUAGUCUCCUUUCUCCAACCCCAAAGCAAGAAAAUCUCAC
rnacentral:lncRNA from 1 species